rnacentral:tRNA from 1 species
GUGCCCUUGGCGUCAACUGGCAGCGCAACGGACUCCAAAUCCGUAGGUUGAAGGUUCGAAUCCUUCAGGGUACG